GCUCAGUUGGUUGAAUGCCUGACUCUUGAUUUCAAUUCAAGUCACGAUCCCAGGGUUGUGGGAUCGAGCCCCACAUUGGGCU
rnacentral:tRNA from 1 species